CAGAUGGGACUCGAACCCACAAUCCCUGGCUUAGGAGGCCAAUGCCUUAUCCAUUAGGCCACUGGGGCUUCUGUGAGCCACCCGCUCACACAACAUAUUCAAUUAUUUUCUUCUUUGGUACGUCAUCGUCAUUUCACUUUCGUCUUACCCUAUCCUACGAAACCACACCUAGCGCCCACGUGAUGGGUGAGGUAUGCUGGGAGUUGUAGUUACAAAACAAAAGUCCACAUUACAGCGCCAAAGGCUUUACCCUCGAAAUUGCACCGAUGCUCCGGACGUUGAACGGGCGCGCGCACGCUUUUGCGUACGCGCUUGCUUGCGCAUUCCCUGCGCCUGCGCAAAAACGGGCUUGCGUCGUCGCAGAGCAGAGCGCGCUGGGCAAACUGGCCGGAUCUUGGAGACUCGCCCUCUGAACGUUAGCUCCGUUGGGUUUUCAACGGAAACAGCCGGACCUUUUCCGGUGUUGCGAACUUUCCGGGCGGAGCUUUGCUCCAGACGCCUGUUAGGUGGCCCCUGCUGCGGUCAGUUUCUGCUUCCGGUUGAAGCGCUGAGGCCAUUUCCGCAGGGCGGGUGGUGGAUUAGGAAACAUGUGGCGUGUCCCUUGAAUUGGCGGGUCAGCGGUAAACAUGGGACAGCGGGGAAGUAAUAGUAUACUGAUUAGGAAUUUGUUAAUUUUAAAAAUUAGUAGUUCAUUUUUUGGUUUGGUUCCUAAUUGUGUAACUUGAACAAAGCACUUCAGAAUCCCAGUGAACUUACUCUUACUUAUGAUAUCACAGGGCCUCCCCAUUGUCCCUAAGAUAAAGUUCAGACGACAUAAAUUGAACCUCGCUUAUAUCUUAGUCUUCAUCUUCCCCUAUUUGUUUCUUGUCACUCUCUGCUCCAGGUAUCUGCACUGUGUUUCUUCCCUGCCACCCACCUUACAUGUUUAACUCCCUCUGGCUGAAACUUAACCAUUUGUGUUAAUAUUACUGUUUACCCUUUGGGCUUCAGCUUACUCUGGAAGUCUAGGUUAGACUCUUCUCUAGGCCCUUGAGGUCAGUAAGGCAAGGUGAAAAUGAUUCACUUCUUCUCUGGUCCCUUGUUGCUCCCUUUAUUUACUUAUCAUAAAUAACUAUUCAGGUAGGUACAAGGCCUCUACUCAAUAUUGUAGUUGUCAGUCUCCUCCAUCAGACUGGGAAAUUGUUCAGCUCCGAAAGCCCUGUGCCUCACAGAAAAGCCUGUUUCUUCACCAGGCUGACUGCUUGGUAGCAUAGUCAUAACAGCUUAGUCUGAAGCUCCUAAAGGGAUUGGCACCGUCUGGCCCCAAUGGCUAGGAGACAUAAGCUAUUGAGCAGGAAUGACAAACACAAAUGGUACAUUAAUGAGUAAAGCUGGCUUGUUUGGAAACCUGAUGAACUGGAUAGCACCUAGCCCACCUGUCCAGGGGGCAGCCAUUACUCACUUCCACUGAUUGUUUCCAUUUUAGGAAAGCAAAUCCUUUUUAAAAACAUUUUUUUUUUUUUUUUCAGGAAAAUCUGGAAAUCUAUGUUUUAAUUCUAUAGCUUUCCUUCUAAAUAUUGGCCACUAAUGAAUACUUUAAAAGUACUACAUGCGAAACAAAACAGCCCACAGACUUCUAGUCUGUAAAGGAAGAAGGAAGAAAAAAAGGGCGGUAGGAUUGUAAGAUGAAAAAAGGGUCUGUUGUGGAAUACAGUGGUAUAUAUGAUCAUAGCUCACUGCAGCCUUGACCUCCCCAGUUCAAGUGAUCCUCCUGCCUCAGCCUCCUGAAUAGCUGGGACUACAGACCUGUGCCACCAUACCUGACUAUCAGAUUUAACAUGUUUUUCCACCAAACUGCCAAAACCCCAAGACGGAAGGAGGAGUACGGAGACAGGCCUACCGAGCUCUCAGCUGACAACUAUACGAAGGACCAAUCAUGCGAGUGAGCCAUCUCGAGUGUUCCAGCCCGUGGCACCCUCAGAUGACUAUAGUUCCUGCUUAGUAUCAUAUGGAGUAGAACAGCCCAGCUAAACUUAGUCAAUCCCUAGAAGCAUCAGAGACAAUAAAAUGCCUGUUUAAAGCCACUAAGUUUUGGAAUUAUUUGUUGUGUGAGAAUAGAAAACCAAAACAAGCUGGGCGCAGUGGCUCAUGCCUGUCAUCUCAACACUUUGGGGGGUCAAGGCAGGAGGAUCCCAUGAGCCCAGGAGUUUGA